GUCUGAAGGAAAAGGAAGCUUGGGGCUCGCAGAGAGAGGGUCCGGGAAGCCCGUGGCCAGAGGCUCUCAAGAUUAAAGAACUUGUCUGAAGUUAAGGAACUUCUGGAGAGAGAGGCUUAAAAUUUGGAUGCAUACCGUUUCUUUAAAAGGGUUUAUCCUGUAUGAGACUCUCUGUGCUUCCUGGACUUGGAUAACACACUGACUUUGGAAGCUGAGUUUUGAAGAUACCAGUGCCACAGAGGGAAAGAGCUCAGUUCAUUGACUCAGCCUGGAGGAGAACCACAUCUUCUAAAAUCAUGUUGGAGAAUGACGAAAUAAUUAGGCAGAAAUAAUCUGACGCUAAUAUCUGAGAGUCCAAAGGAAGAGAGAACCAGUUGAGGGGGAGGUGCCCUUGGCAAAUGAUGUACCCAGG